rnacentral:rRNA from 1 species
CCUACGGGAGGCAGCAGUGAGGAAUAUUGGUCAAUGGGCGCAAGCCUGAACCAGCCAUGCCGCGUGCAGGAUGAAGCAUCUAUGGUGUGUAAACUGCUUUUGUACGGGAAGAAACCCUGCCACGUGUGGCAGAUUGACGGUACCGUAAGAAUAAGGAUCGGCUAACUCCGUGCCAGCAGCCGCGGUAAUACGGAGGAUCCAAGCGUUAUCCGGAAUCAUUGGGUUUAAAGGGUCCGUAGGCGGUUUUAUAAGUCAGUGGUGAAAUCCGGCAGCUCAACUGUCGAACUGCCAUUGAUACUGUAGGACUUGAAUUAUUGUGAAGUAACUAGAAUAUGUAGUGUAGCGGUGAAAUGCUUAGAUAUUACAUGGAAUACCCAUUGCGAAGGCAGGUUACUAACAAUAUAUUGACGCUGAUGGACGAAAGCGUGGGGAGCGAACAGGAUUAGAUACCCUGGUAGUCCACGCCGUAAACGAUGGAUACUAGCUGUUUGGUUGUAAGACUGAGUGGUGUAGAGAAGUAGAGUAAGUAGUACCGACCGUCGGGUAGGUACGGGUUCGGCGACGACCGUUACGAACGUUACGAAGGAAGUAGACGGCGUUGAGACGNGCCGACGGACGACGACGAGGGAGGAGG